rnacentral:rRNA from 1 species
UUGACGNGAANAUGGUGCUUGCACCAAUUUGAAGAGCAGCGAACGGGUGAGUAACGCGUGGGGAAUCUGCCUUUGAGCGGGGGACAACAUUUGGAAACGAAUGCUAAUACCGCAUAAUAACUUUAAACAUAAGUUUUAAGUUUGAAAGAUGCAAUUGCAUCACUCAAAGAUGAUCCCGCGUUGUAUUAGCUAGUUGGUGAGGUAAAGGCUCACCAAGGCGAUGAUACAUAGCCGACCUGAGAGGGUGAUCGGCCACAUUGGGACUGAGACACGGCCCAAACUCCUACGGGAGGCAGCAGUAGGGAAUCUUCGGCAAUGGACGAAAGUCUGACCGAGCAACGCCGCGUGAGUGAAGAAGGUUUUCGGAUCGUAAAACUCUGUUGGUAGAGAAGAACGUUGGUGAGAGUGGAAAGCUCAUCAAGUGACGGUAACUACCCAGAAAGGGACGGCUAACUACGUGCCAGCAGCCGCGGUAAUACGUAGGUCCCGAGCGUUGUCCGGAUUUAUUGGGCGUAAAGCGAGCCCAGGUGGUUUAUUAAGUCUGGUGUAAAAGGCAGUGGCUCANCCAUUGUAUGCAU